UUUAUUUGACGUUAGCGACAGAAGAAGCACCGGCUAACUCCGUGCCAGCAGCCGCGGUAAUACGGAGGGUGCGAGCGUUAAUCGGAAUUACUGGGCGUAAAGCGCAUGCAGGUGGUUUGUUAAGUCAGAUGUGAAAGCCCGGGGCUCAACCUCGGAAUAGCAUUUGAAACUGGCAGACUAGAGUACUGUAGAGGGGGGUAGAAUUUCAGGUGUAGCGGUGAAAUGCGUAGAGAUCUGAAGGAAUACCGGUGGCGAAGGCGGCCCCCUGGACAGAUACUGACACUCAGAUGCGAAAGCGUGGGGAGCAAACAGGAUUAGAUACCCUGGUAGUCCACGCCGUAAACGAUGUCUACUUGGAGGUUGUGGCCUUGAGCCGUGGCUUUCGGAGCUAACGCGUUAAGUAGACCGCCUGGGG
rnacentral:rRNA from 1 species